rnacentral:rRNA from 1 species
GACGAACGCUGGCGGCGUGCCUAAUACAUGCAAGUAGAACGCACAGUUUAUACCGUAGCUUGCUACACCAUAGACUGUGAGUUGCGGACGGGUGAGUAACGCGUAGGUAACCUGCCUGGUAGCGGGGGAUAACUAUUGGAAACGAUAGCUAAUACCGCAUAAUAUUAAUUAUUGCAUGAUAAUUAAUUGAAAGGUGCAAUUGCACCACUACCAGAUGGACCUGCGUUGUAUUAGCUAGUAGGUGAGGUAACGGCUCACCUAGGCGACGAUACAUAGCCGACCUGAGAGGGUGAUCGGCCACACUGGGACUGAGACACGGCCCAGACUCCUACGGGAGGCAGCAGUAGGGAAUCUUCGGCAAUGGACGAAAGUCUGACCGAGCAACGCCGCGGGAGUGAAGAAGGUUUUCGGAUCGUAAAGCUCUGUUGUAAGAGAAGAACGGGUGUGAGAGUGGAAAGUUCACACUGUGACGGUAGCUUACCAGAAAGGGACGGCUAACUACGUG